CAAAGUCGAGUCUGUCUUCGAAGGAUCUCCCCAUUGACGAUGAUGAUGGCUGACGUGGGAAGUGUGUGACCUGUGGAAUCCUCUUCACUUAAGAGUUCCUGACCCGGAGUUAUGGCCCUGUGUGGUCUUGAAGCUUUUUUAUUUUAAACAUCUACAUCAUAGAAAGCAGAUUUUAUCAGAGAAAAUUUGUGGACUGAGUUAAGUUGCUUUUACAGAGUAAACAGGUCUCCAAGAAAUAAAAGGAAAAGGUAAGCCACCAGAGUGUAAGGCUUUGCACAGAAGUGUGACAAAAUCUGAUAGAUUAUUGGACCGUUGAACUCGUCGUUCUUUUGUUUGCAUGGUGACCAGCUAAAUAGCAGGAGCAGAAAUUCUGACCAUACUUGGCUUUUCUGACUAUGUAAACUCUAUUGUGGUUAGUGAAAGACAGAUGAGUAGGAGGCAGUGAUCUAAAGAGUCUGAAAGUGGUUUGGUUUUGUUGUGAAGCAGCAUUUGGCAGACUUACAAAGGAAGAUUUGGCAUUUUUGAUGUUCCUAAUGAAUAGGAUAGGCAGUGUGAAAUGUUUAAGGCAAUUGGUUUAUUUGUGUGUUUAUAUAGGAGAAGAUGCAUUUGUUUUAGGAAUUAGAGGAGAUGGCAGGUUUCUCUGUGGACUACUGUUUCCUUUUCCACUUACUAAUGCUGAAGAAACAGGUAAUUAUUAAGCUAGUUUGUGCUAAGGUGCUGCAAAAAUAAGCCUUGCUAUUAUGUGUACCUUUUUGUCUGCAGGUGAUUAUUGCUGUGGUUUGAGCUCAGCAUGGCUGUAGUCAUCCGUUUACAGGGGCUUCCUUUUAUUGCGGGUCCUGUGGACAUCCGUCACUUCUUCAAGGGAUUGACUAUUCCUGAUGGAGGAGUGCAUGUGAUUGGAGGGAAAGCUGGUGAGGCUUUUAUAAUUUUUGCCACAGAUGAAGACGCAAGACGUGCCAUAAGUCGCUCAGGAGGGUUUAUCAAGGAUUGAUCUGUAGAGCUUUUUUCUGAGUAGCAAGGUAGAAAUGCAGAAGACCAUAGACAUGAAAAGAAGUGCUCGUGUAGGAAGAGGGCGACCAGGACCUGAGGCCUCAGGGGUUGGCAACAUGUAUCAUUUUAUCGAUGCUCUGAAGGAAGAGGAACAUUAUUCUGGAUAUGGCUCUGCAGUUAAUCCAGAUGCUGGGUUUCAUAUAAAUGGUACAGGACUUGACGUGAGGCCAAGAAAGACCAGGCCACUGAAGGCUGAGAAUCCUUACUUGUUCCUUCGAGGUUUGCCUUACUUAGUAAAUGAAGAUGAUGUCCGUGUCUUUUUCUCUGGUUUGUGUGUAGAUGGAGUAAUUCUCUUAAAACACCAUGAUGGGCGAAAUAAUGGCGAUGCUAUAGUAAAAUUUGCUUCAUGUGUUGAUGCUUCAGGAGGUCUUAAAUGCCAUAGAAGUUUCAUGGGUUCCAGAUUUAUAGAAGUCAUGCAGGGUUCAGAACAACAGUGGAUUGAAUUUGGUGGUACUGCAAGCAAGGGCGGGGACACCCUGCAUAAGAGAUCUGAAGAACAUUCUCCUUCAAGGAGGUUAAAUGACAGGUACUUUUGGAAACGGUCUCGUUCAAAGUCUCCCAGAACACGUUCUCGCUCUCCUCUUGGAUUUUAUGUUCACUUAAGAAAUCUGUCCUUACAUACUAACAAAAGAGAUCUAAGGUAUCUCUUUAGAGAUACUGACCUGAGUAACGACCAGAUUAAGUUUUUAUAUAAAGAUGAUCGAAGAACGCGGUAUGCCUUUGUGAUGUUCAAGAAUCAAAAAAGACUAUAACACUGCCCUGGGUUUGCAUAAGACUGUUUUAAUAUCGUCCAGUUCUUAUCGAUCCAAUUUCUAGAAAGGAAAUGGUGAAAAUCAUUGAAUGCUAUGAAAAGAAGAGACCAGAGUCUUUAGAGGAAGAGAGGCCAGGACGUGUUUCAAAAAAGUACUCUGAAGAAGGCUUCCUGGCUCUGGUCAGAAGCUGUGCAUAUAUAUAAGAAAUUUACCAUUUGAUGUUACAAAAGGUGAAGUGCAGAAGUUCUUUGCAGACUUUUCUCUUGUUGAGGAUGACAUUUAUUUGCUUUGUGAUGACAAGGAGUUGGUUUGGGAGAAGCACUGGUGAGAUUUAAAUCUGAAGAGCAGGCCAUGAAAGCUGAACGCGUUUGAACCGGCAGAGAUUCUUGGGACAGAGGUGUUGUUAAGACUUAUAUCUGAGGAACAAAUGCAGGAGUUUGGUGUAAAUUUUCCUGGAUGUCAAAUGAGAAGACACAAGCCUGGUCCCGGGUCACAUGAUGGAGAUGACUGUCCCUGUCUGUUUGACUUAAAAGAUCCACUGGCGUGUUCCUUUGGCCAGUCUGAAAGCAUUGGUUAUCAGCCAAAAGACUUGAGGAAAAUGGGUCAUUUCAAGCAUCCCCGAGGGUAUUUCCAGCAUGCUGACAGGCACUCUCCUGAGGACUUCAGGCACUCUCCAGAAGACUAUGGACACCUCAGGAGGAGCAUACCAGGCGCCUAGGGAGGAAGACUGGAGACGGCCCUUGAGGAUUGGAAAUGGUCACUGGAAGAUGAUUUUAGGCAGUGUCGUGAAAAAGAUUGUAGGCAGCUACCAGAGAAGGAUUUCAGAUGCCCUUGGGAAGAAGACUUCCGACGGCCAUCUCAGGAGCACUUCAGGAGGUCAUAUCAGGAGCACAUUAGACGGCCACCCCAUGAACAUUUCAGGCAUUCCCGAGAGGAAGAUUCCAGGCAUGUGGCAGAUGAAGAUUUUAGGUACCCUUCUGAUGAGGACUUCAGGACCUCCCAAGAAGAUUUGAGAUGUCCCACUGAUGAGGACUUCAGGCAGGUGUGUCUGGAAGACCACAGGAAAGUUCCUGAGGAGGGUCUUAGACGUUCUGAUAAUUUUAGACUUCCUGGAGAGGAUUUUUGGACCUCAUCUGAUUUCAGAGGUCACCAUCCUUUUGUGAACUUUGGUCACCUAGAAGGUGGCAAAUUUGAUUUUGGAAAGUAUAACAUAGGAAGUUUUUCAGAGGCAAAAGUUACAUCUGAUUUAAAUUUAAGUUGUAGGUCAGGUGGAAUUAUUCCUGUAAAAAUCUCAAAUCUUCCAUUCAAAGCUAAUUCUAAUGAAAUUCUAGACUUUUUCCAUGGUUAUAAAGUCAUACCUGGUUCUGUUUCAUUACAGUACAAUGAGGAAGGAUUACCUAUAGGAGAAGCUAUUGUUGCUAUGACAAAUUAUAAUGAAGCUCUAGCUGCUGUUAAAGAUCUAAGUGGUAGACCAGUUGGUCCCCGAAAGGUUAAGCUCAGUUUGCUUUAGAGGGUCUUUUUAAGUAAACAGUUUUCUUCUACUGUAUUGGUGCAGUGAAUGUAUAGUUUUGUAAUUUAAUUAUCUAAAAAAUGUUUUUAAUGUGUGAUUAGAAAAAAGAAGGUGUUAUGCAAAUCUGGUUUCCUUUUAUUUCAAAUGGACAUGCAUUUACCCCCUAAUUUAAAAUUACAUAUACUGUUUUUCGCAGGUAGAAAAGAACAAAUUUUCUGUUCUCAUUAAUGCUAUGAAUAAAUUAAUCUUUGACUUUGUUUUUUCUAUCUUUUACUCAGACUAUAGAAGGAAAUAAAGGCUGAGUGAUUAAUCGGGUUUGGCACUUUUGCUAAUUGCCUGUAAAACUGCUUGUCAAGAUAUCAUGCUAAUGUCUCUUAUAAACUCUAAAUAGUUCAGAAAAUGAACUUACUGUGAAAGAAAUUUACUUAAGUUCUUCAAUAUUUGUGUUCACAAGUUUCAAAAGUUUAAUAAAGAUAAAAUUGCAAUUGAAA